UACGUAGGGAGCGAGCGUUGUCCGGAUUCAUUGGGCGUAAAGAGCUCGUAGGCGGCUUGGUAAGUCGGAUGUGAAACCUCCAGUCUCAACCUGGAGUCGCCAUCCGAUACUGCCAUGGCUAGAGUCCGGUAGGGGCCCACGGAAUUCCUGGUGUAGCGGUGAAAUGCGCAGAUAUCAGGAGGAACACCGAUGGCGAAGGCAGUGGGCUGGGCCGGCACUGACGCUGAGGAGCGAAAGCGUGGGGAGCGAACAGG
rnacentral:rRNA from 1 species